rnacentral:rRNA from 1 species
AGAGUUUGAUCCUGGCUCAGGAUGAACGCUGGCGGCGUGCCUAACACAUGCAAGUCGAGCGAACUCUUCGGAGUGAGCGGCGGACGGGUGAGUAACGCGUGGGUAACCUGCCCUGUACACAUGGAUAACAUACCGAAAGGUAUGCUAAUACAAGAUAAAAUAUAUUUAUCGCAUGAUAGAUAUAUCAAAGCGUUAGCGGUACAGGAUGGACCCGCGUCUGAUUAGCUAGUUGGUAAGGUAAAGGCUUACCAAGGCGACGAUCAGUAGCCGACCUGAGAGGGUGAUCGGCCACAUUGGAACUGAGACACGGUCCAAACUCCUACGGGAGGCAGCAGUGGGGAAUAUUGCACAAUGGGCGAAAGCCUGAUGCAGCAACGCCGCGUGAGCGAAGAAGGCCUUCGGGUCGUAAAGCUCUGUCCUCAAGGAAGAUAAUGACGGUACUUGAGGAGGAAGCCCCGGCUAACUACGUGCCAGCAGCCGCGGUAAGAUACCGCUU